AUUGAACGCUGGCGGCAUGCCUUACACAUGCAAGUCGAACGGCAGCACGGGAGCUUGCUCCUGGUGGCGAGUGGCGAACGGGUGAGUAAUACAUCGGAACGUACCCUGAAGUGGGGGAUAACGUAGCGAAAGUUAACGCUAAUACCGCAUAUUCUGUGAGCAGGAAAGAGGGGGAUCGCAAGACCUCUUGCUUUAGGAGCGGCCGAUGUCGGAUUAGCUAGUUGGUGAGGUAAAGGCUCACCAAGGCGACGAUCCGUAGCGGGUCUGAGAGGAUGAUCCGCCACACUGGGACUGAGACACGGCCCAGACUCCUACGGGAGGCAGCAGUGGGGAAUUUUGGACAAUGGGCGCAAGCCUGAUCCAGCCAUGACCGCGUGAGUGAAGAAGGCCU
rnacentral:rRNA from 1 species